rnacentral:misc_RNA from 1 species
ACACAGACAAGACGACAAGAGUGCAUAUAUACGUGUUACGUGUUGGCCUUCUUUGAACUAUUUUAGUCGAUCUGCUUUGCUGUUCCGCCAUCUUCUUUCCCAGUUCAGCUCUUCACCUCCGGCUCACCCACUAGUGUCGCUGUUUGGUAUGCUUGUAUUUCUUUCUCUUUGUGGUAGAGGAGCUCAGCUGAGGAGCGCGCGUAAGCCGAAAGGCGUGCGCAUGCCGUGUCUCUUGUUGUGUUUAUAUUUUGUGUGUUCUCGACGCUCGCUUUGUGGUCGGCUAUUGAUUUUUUAUUUUCCGAUCUCACAUGCCUUUCUCUGCGCUUACCACGUUCACUGAAUACCCUUGUUUGCGUCGCCGCGUUCUCCGUUGUGCGACGCGCAACCAAGGCUAGGCAGUAUGGCGUGGACGCGGAGAGAAGCAAAGAAAAAGGCCGCGCACCACGUGAAGCAUCGAGAGGAUGCCCACGACGCUGUGACACCAGGCAAAAACACCACAGAGAAAAGCAGAAAAACGCCCAAAAAGUAUGUCUGUGCCGAAGAGGACGGUGACACAGCACCAGCACGAGGGAGAACAAAGGAGAAAAGGAGCAUGAGCAGCUCAUAUGGAAGCUGCGCCCGUGGAAAGAAGGAGGGGGGCAUUCCUGCUGUUUUCUUUGUGCGUCCCUGGCGCUGCCGGUCGCCUCACCGCAGUGUCAGGGUCUUGUGCACACUCUGUCGAUACCCCAACAGCCUAUGCAAUGCCCUCGGGUACGACUGCGGUCUCUUGGUGUCGGCGGACAAGCCUGUGCUGGCGCUGAGCCGAAGCAACUUGGGGGCAUGAGCACGCUUGGAAACGCUCGCUGCGGUUGUUGUCGAGGAUUCGACCGCUUUGCUUGCACUUCCACUCCUGUCAGAGGCGUGCGGAUACCGGGGAAGGCGAAGCGCCGCUGCCGCCACAGACUCAGGGCAGCGCCCCGCCUGUCGCGGCAGAUGCGGGCAAGGUAUCCAGGCACGCCCCCGGGCAACAACGCCGCCAUGAUGCAGGCACCGUGAUGCGGAAGUGCGAGCAGUGUGCGCCGGCGCUGUCAAGCACCGCUGGCAUGGUGUGUCUGAUGCGAGCAAAGCAUCCAGGGGCCGGCCGAGCACGGGCGAUGGGGGGGGAGGGGAAGAAGGCGCAUGCAGGGCCAUGCCGAUGCCCCCUCUCCCGCAGUGCAUGUGUGCGGAGCAUGCGGCGUCUCCUGCAUCCGACCGAGUGGGCUGAUGCGGCGCGGACGCCGGGAGGCAUGACGAGGGCACCCGGGACGGCACCACCGAGCCAUCGGGUGUGCACUGCGGAGAGCCGCCACGCCACAUUACGGGAUGCCGCGGUUGGAGCGGACUGGGGGGCGGGCGGGCGAAGCACGGCAUGCAGGCAGUGUGUGCCGGGCCUCAGAAGGACCCUGACCCCUGAGGCUUUCGAGGCUCCUCCUUGCGUUCGUGCGGCACGCACCUGGACCGCCCACCCACCACGUGCACGACAGGCGCCGAUCGCGCAGCGGGCACAGGAAGAGUAGGCGAUGAAGGGCAGGGCGAGCGUGCUGGACGCAUGGCGCGAUUCGACGAGCGGGAGAGCCACGUCCCAGGCGACGAGCAUUUAGCCCGAGUGCGACAGAGUUAGGUGAGCGGUGGCUGCAUGCCGAUGCUUGUCGACAUGUUCGUGUUAUGCGGAGACACGCCAACCAGGAAAAGGGAAUUGUUAUUGUUGUCUUUUGUUGUUGUCGAUCGAGUGCCCUCCGCUUUUUUUUUUCAAUACUUUCUUUGUUUUCGCAUGUGUCUAUGUGUAGUUUCCGUGUUUUUGUUUUCUUUUUUUUUCCGAGUUAUUGUGUUGGUGCUGGUAUGUACGCUUAAAGGGGCCGUGUCUUUUUCUGAAUAUUCGCCCCUUCUUUCUCCAUCCUCAGUUGUUAUUGUCGUCAAGUCUUUUUUUUUCUUUGCUGGCUGGCUCGACAUCUCUACUCUUCCGCGUCUCUCGCUUUGUCCUUUAGGUUUCGCUGCAUCUCGUCGAUUUUCUCUGGCUUCGUGUCUCUCACGUCACGCCGAGACGUCCGUCAAUGGCUGCACCGCUUCUUGCAGUGAAAAGCGAUGCCAACGCUCAUCGCAUCUCGGGUUAGUCGCUGUCGGCAUCUCUAUGGGUGGGUGUCCUUGCACUUGCAUGUGAUAUGCCCGCCUUCUCAUUAUGUGUUUCUCCCGCUUCUCUCGUCUAUUGUAUUCACUCUUUCCUUACUUUGUCUCGAAUCUCUCGGUAUGCAUGUGCCUCAGUGUGCAUGUGUGCGUGUCUUGGUGCCUUUAUGUAUGCUGACUAGCCAGAUUUUAUAUUGUUGAAUAUUCUACGCGUUUGCGUGCCUUCUCUAAAGGUGUGCGUAUUUAUGUGUGUGUGUGUGUGCGGUUACAGACCUAUCAUGGAUACCUCCUUUUUUCGUAUAUAUUUUUUUCUUGCUGAUCAUCUUCACUUCUCUACUGUUUCGCUUCAUUCCCUUUACUAUUUUUUCUUUUCGGUGGUGGGGGGUUGAUUUUAUUGCCUUUGCAUUCCAUUACCCUCUCUUCGUCUCUUUCCGGCCAUGCGCGCCUCUUGUCUGUUUCCAUGCCGAGGCGUGCGUAUGUAGGGCUGCGUAUUUUGUUUGCCUUUUGGUUUCAGGCUUGAUUUUAUCGCUGCCUUUAUAUUUCAUGUGCUGUGCUUUGAGAUGUUUCGAUGAUGCUUCAUCGUGUGUGCGGCGUUGCUGAGAAGCACCAUCCAUAAAGACACCGAGGGACACAAGCGUCGCCCGAUGAAGGAGAGCAGGCAACGUGGAUGCUGCUGAAUCGCCGUAUUGGAGGGUGAGGAUGCAAGCACACACAUAAACUCGUACCCGCGUACUCCAGCGGCAAUGCUGCGGUGAACGAGGUAGAGAAUAAGCAGAGAGACCACUGGCCAUACUUCAUCUUGUCGAAUUUGUGGUUUUGUGCGGCUGAUCAACUGCGCUUGUAUGUAGACGCACUAGUUCUCGGCACGGAACUCUACAACCAGCGCCUACAGCGCAGGUAUGCUUCCUUCCUCUGCUUGAAAGGACAUCUGCUCUCCUCCGCUGCCUUUCAUGGAUGACCGGUUCGCUGAAUCACGACGGCACUUCUGACGCGUCGGGGCUCGGCGGCUGCAUCCACGGAAGAGUUGUCCAUCAAAUGCCCUUUGUUAACCUGCAUCCUCCCGUUUUCUCUUCCUCCUCGCCUUUCCCUCUCGAUUUCUUUUGCUUUUCUUCGUUUUCAUGCCUUUGCAUCCUUUUGCACCGAAUCCGUGGCGUGGGCAACGUGGCUCCCCCUGUGUCUAUCGUAUGGCAAACAG